UACGUAGGCAGCAAGCGUUGUUCGGAGUUACUGGGCGUAAAGAGUGCGUAGGCGGUGCUCUAAGUUGGUGUGAAAUCUCCCGGCUCAACUGGGAGGGUGCGCCGAAAACUGGAGUGCUUGAGUGUGGGAGAGGCAAGCGGAAUUCCUGGUGUAGCGGUGAAAUGCGUAGAUAUCAGGAGGAACACCGGCGGUGUAGACGGCUUUCUGGACCGUAGCUGACGCUGGAGAACACGAAAGCGUGGGUAGCAAACAGG
rnacentral:rRNA from 1 species